rnacentral:rRNA from 1 species
UUCUAACCCUAAACGAUGCUAACUAGCAAUUCGCCGUCGUUAUUCCCAUGACGUGGCGAGACGCCCCCGGGAAACCUCAAGUCUUUGAGUUCCGGGGGUAGUAUGGUUGCAAAACUGAAACUUAAAGGAAUUGACGGAAGGGCACCACCAGGAGUGGAGCCUGCGGCUUAAUUUGACUCAACACGGGAAACCUCACCAGGCCCGGACACCAGAAGGAUUGACAGAUUAAGAGCUCUUUCUCGAUUUGGUGGGUGGUGGUGCAUGGCCGUUCUUAGUUGGUGGAGUGAUUUGUCUGGUUAAUUCCGGUAACGAACGAGACUCUGGCCUACUAACUAGUGGAUGGGUGUCCUGGUAACGGGCCCCAUCCGAUAAUGUCUUCUUAGAGGGAUGAGCAGCGAGUAUAGCUGCAGGAGAUUGAGCAAUAACAGGUCUG